AAGACCUCAACCUAUUUGCCCGGUCCCUUAUUUUCAAAAAAUGGUACCAUAAAAGCGAAAUUGACAAGAUUUUUACUACACCCAUGGAGAGGAUGGCACUCAGGGACUUGGAAGAAUUAGCAAUCGAACAUGAGACACCCAGAGAUAUGUAGAAACUAAUGGAGAUUAUCCAGCAAGCUGCAACCUCAGGAACCAUUACACCAUCUUUAGCUAAGGCACUUACCGUGGAAUAUCCAAAAAUGACAACCUUGCCAAUACCAAUCUACUGCCAAAGAUACACAAACACCUGACGAAACCACCUGGACGCCCGAUUAUUUCAGCGUCCAUGGAUGUUCACUAACUACAUGUAGAACCCAGUCCACCUCCCGAUUUAAGGAAUACCUUUUCAAGUGGUACCAUCAGUUUGCCCCCCGUCUGCUGCCAUCUAUCUUACUGCAGAACUUUUGAGUGUAUUUAAUUCAA